CCUACGGGGGGCAGCAGUGAGGAAUAUUGGUCAAUGGUCGGGAGACUGAACCAGCCAAGCCGCGUGAGGGAUGAAGGUACAGAGUAUCGUAAACCUCUUUUGUCAGGGAACAAAGGUUGGGAUGCAUCCCCUUAUGAGUGUACCUUAUGAACAAGCAUCGGCUAACUCCGUGCCAGCAGCCGCGGUAAUACGGAGGAUGCGAGCGUUAUCCGGAUUUAUUGGGUUUAAAGGGUGCGCAGGCGGGCUGUUAAGUCAGGUGUGAAAGGCCGGGGCUCAACCCCGGCACGGCAGUUGAAACUGGCAGUCUAGAGUUGAGGAGAGGGAGGCGGAAUGCGCGGUGUAGCGGUGAAAUGCUUAGAUAUCGCGAAGAACUCCGAUUGCGAAGGCAGCAUGCCGG
rnacentral:rRNA from 1 species